rnacentral:rRNA from 1 species
GAAAGAAGACCCUGUUGAGCUUGACUCUAGUCCGACGUUGUGAAAUGACUUAGAGGGUGUAGUAUAAGUGGGAGGCUUUGCCGACGAUGAAAUACCACUACCUCUAAUGUUGUUUUACUUAUUCCAUGAUGCAGCGCCCAGGCGGCCUCGCGGUCGUUCUGGUUCUAGCCUUAAUCUUUUCGGAGAGAGCUGCGUGGGAGACAACGUCAGGUGGGGAGUUUGGCUGGGGCGGCAC